AGUGAACGCUGGCGGUAGGCCUAACACAUGCAAGUCGAACGGCAGCACAGUAAGAGCUUGCUCUUACGGGUGGCGAGUGGCGGACGGGUGAGGAAUACAUCGGAAUCUACUUUUUCGUGGGGGAUAAAGUAGGGAAAAUUACGCUAAUACCGCAUACGACCUACGGGUGAAAGCAGGGGAACUUCGGACCUUGGGCGAUUGAAUGAGCCGAUGUCGGAUUAGCUAGUUGGCGGGGUAAAGGCCCACCAAGGCGACGAUCCGUAGCUGGUCUGAGAGGAUGAUCAGCCACACUGGAACUGAGACACGGUCCAGACUCCUACGGGAGGCAGCAGUGGGGAAUAUUGGACAAUGGGCGCAAGCCUGAUCCAGCCAUACCGCGUGGGUGAAGAAGGCCUUCGGGUUGUAAAGCCCUUUUGUUGGGAAAGAAAAGCAGCAGGUUAAUACCCCGCUGUUCUGACGGUACCCAAAGAAUAAGCACCGGCUAACUUCGUG
rnacentral:rRNA from 1 species